rfam:Gossypium hirsutum cultivar TM-1 chromosome 20, whole genome shotgun sequence
AAGCCAUGAUGAUGACACAUUCUUAAAAGAUCCUUAAACCUCUCUCAUGUAUCAUAUAGUGUCUCGAGAUCAAAUUGAGCAAAAUAAGAGAUGUCAUUCUUCAACUU